UACGAAGGGGGCUAGCGUUGUUCGGAAUCACUGGGCGUAAAGAGCUCGUAGGCGGCUCGUUGCGUCGGCUGUGAAAACCCGCAGCUCAACUGUGGGCCUGCAGCCGAUACGGGCGGGCUAGGAUUCGGUAGGGGAGACUGGAAUUCCUGGUGUAGCGGUGAAAUGCGCAGAUAUCUGGAGGAACACCGGUGGCGAAGGCGGCAUCCUGGACCAAUAUUGACGCUGAGGAGCGAAAGCCAGGGGAGCAAACGGG
rnacentral:rRNA from 1 species